rfam:Ictidomys tridecemlineatus contig047241, whole genome shotgun sequence.
GGGGUUGUAGCUCAGAGGUAGAGUGCUCGCCUCCCACGUGAGAGGCCAUGGGUUCGAUCCUCAGUACCA